UCUUCUUCCUCCCAUGCCUGCGUAGCCAAUUCCUCCCACAGUAUUCUUCCCUUCUCUCUCUUUCUGUGACUUCAUAUCAUCGUUUUUCUCUUAAGAUGCUCACUGUAGCGCGCAGGAGAUCCAAGUGCCUCGGUUCUCCAAGGCACAGAAGAAAGGAUGCAGUGAUUAUGUUCAGAAGGAACAGAAGAAUUCCUGAGCAGCACGCUGCUCGAGGGCUGGGAACUCGAACUGUCCAGAUGCUCAGAAGGAACAGAAGGAUUUAUCAGCACCCCAUUCAUGGACGUAUUCAGAAGCUCGAGCAGAUUGUUCCCGGAUGUCGACAACUGGACACAGGUUCCAUCUUCCAAAGGACUGCAGAUUACAUUUCCUUCCUGCAAUUCCAAGUGAAGCUCAUGCAAGGCCUGUGCAAUGUGUAUGGCCUGUAAUUCAGUAGAGUAACAUGAAUUUUUUUUCCUCAGGAAGAUAAGAAAUAACUAUAAGAAUAAGCGCGCCUUCCUGUUUAUGGUCCCUUGUGUCUAUCCUUUCUAUUUUACUGCAGCAACUUAAAGACAAGUCCAUGCACAAUUUGGUCUGUGGGAGAUGCAGUGGAUGCCAAACUCGUGAGAGGUCUUCUUCUCUGCCGUUCCAAUACAAACCAAAUUUGCUUGAACGGCGCUUAGUCUUCCUCAAACAACCUUUUAGUUUCCGGUCAGUUUUCUACAAUAAUGUCCAAGGAGCGUUAUCCUGACUAAAACAGGAAGCAGAAAGAGUCUUGGGCAGCCUGUGCAUUUAGCUGGCCUGGAGAAGACUGUUGCCAAUCCUCAGAUGGGUUCAUUAAUGUGGAAAUUCAUUUGCCAAUCAGUGAAUUCAUAAAUUUCGUCA